rnacentral:rRNA from 1 species
CAGUCGCCGCGGGAAAACGAGGGGAGCUAGCGUUGUUCGGAAUUACUGGGCGUAAAGCGCGCGUAGGCGGCUUUUUAAGUCAGAGGUGAAAGCCCGGGGCUCAACCCCGGAAUUGCCUUUGAAACUGGAAAGCUAGAAUCUUGGAGAGGUCAGUGGAAUUCCGAGUGUAGAGGUGAAAUUCGUAGAUAUUCGGAAGAACACCAGUGGCGAAGGCGACUGACUGGACAAGUAUUGACGCUGAGGUGCGAAAGCGUGGGGAGCAAACAGGAUUAGAUACCCGCGUAGUCCCUGUCUCUUAUAC